rnacentral:rRNA from 1 species
UGCGCAGGCGGUUCGGAAAGAAAGAUGUGAAAUCCCCGAGCUUAACUUGGGAAUUGCAUUCGAUACUGGUUGGCUAGAGUAUGGGAGAGGAUGGUAGAAUUCCAGGUGUAGCGGUGAAAUGCGUAGAGAUCUGGAGGAAUACCGAUGGCGAAGGCAGCCAUCUGGCCUAAUACUGACACUGAGGUGCGAAAGCAUGGGGAGCAAACAGGAUUAGAUACCCGCGUA